UUGUUUCUAUCAAUUCAAUACAGACGCGCCGAAUUUUCUAACUUACGAUAAUAUUCAAUUUUAUUUUUGACUUUUCAAUAUGUGCUCUGACGAAAAUUGCCGCUGUAUGGACGAAUGCUGCUGUCCAUUAAAAACAAAAUCGUUAUUCUCGUGUAUUUGGACUAUAGUGCAUGCAUCCAUUUUAGUUUUACUUGGCACUAUCCAUGUGACUGGGGGUGCCUUAAUACUGAAUUAUCUCGCAGCGGGCGCAGUUGCCGCCCAAUUUGGUGCUGAAUAUAUUGUGAGUGUACUAAAUUUUGUUUCUGCUGUCAUAUGUUUGGUCGGCGCAAUUGUGCAGUUGAUUGGGCACUUAAAGCUAAAUGGUUGUCUCUAUUUAACGGGCUUGAUUAUAAGCAGCAUAUUUGCCUUUGGUAGUUACGGGUUAGUCUUUGUUUACGCUUUUGUUGUUCAAAUAUUUUGCUGUAUUUGGUGCAGUAGAUACUAUAUGUUGGAAAUGUGAGAAAUAACGGCAAUCGCAAAAUUUAUAAUAAUAAUACAAUUAUUACAAAAUUUAUACUCAUAUGCAAAUUUACAAAUCUGGUGAUUUUCAUUUAUUUUAUAGUAUGUUUUGACUAUACAGCUAUGCGAUUUUAAAUACUAUUACUUUUAUGAAACUAAAUUAUUGUCUCUAUGUAACGGGCUUGAUUAUAAGUCGUUUAUUUGCCUUUGGUGGUUACGGAUUAGUCUUCGUUUACCCUUUUGUGUAUGGACGAAUGCUGCUGUCCACUAAAGUCAAAAUCGUUAUUCGCGUGUAUUUGGACUUUAGCGCAUGCAGGAAUGGCAUUAAUAUUAGAAAUAUGUGAAUUGGCUACGCAUUCUCUAUUGCUAAGUAUCUUCAAAGACAACGAAAUGCUCGCCGCGUGGUUUGCUUCAAAUAAUGUUCUUUGUGCAUUUACGCUUACCGGGACUAUCGUCUGUUUGAUCGGCGCAGUUCUGCAGUUGAUUGGACACUUAAAGCUAAAUCGUUGUCUCUAUUUAGUGGGCUUGAUUUUAUCUAGCAUAUUUAGCUUUUUGAGUUACCCUUAUUUUUUUUACACAAUUGUUGUUCAAAUAUUUUGCAUUAUAUGGUGCUGUAGAUUCUAUAGACUCGAAAUGUGAGAAAUAACGGCAAUGCCAAAAUUUAUAAUAAUACUGAAAUUGUUACAAAAUAUAUACCUUUAUGACACAAUAAAAGAUUUUUA